GGAUCAGCAGGUUGGUCGUGCCUACGGUAUGAACUGGCCUUGCUGAUUCCUCCUUCUUGAUGAGCCGUAAUGCCAUUAAUUUGGUGUUGCGGGGAAUCAGGACUGUUACUUUGAAAAAAUUAGAGUGUUUAAAGCAGGCAUGUGCCGGAAUAAUUGCGCUGGGAAUAAUGGAAUAGGACC
rnacentral:rRNA from 1 species